AGGAAGCAGCCAUUCUUUCUGGUCCUAUUGUCUGGCCACCAGGCUUAGGCAAUCAAACAGCCCAGUGGCCCGGCAGCGGCUCCCGCUCCUGCCUCUUCUGGUGGGCCUGGGGGAGGAGGAGGAGGGCAGGGGAGGGCUGCCUGCUCAUGGCUGGAACUUGGUUUUCCCCAGCGCAUCUCUGCCUGGCCGAUGGCCUCAGAAGUUCAGAAUGAAAAAGCAAACAUGCAUAAGCUCUCCAAAGUUCUAUCUCCAUCCAUUCUUCCUCCUGGCAAAUGCUUCUAGUCCCUUCUGCAUACAAAGCAAUAUGAAUUUGAGCAAGAGUUACAUUUAAGACCUUGAGAUCAACUGGAGAAAGCUACGCUGGACAGCUGUCAUAACGUCAUGUCACAAAUGGAGAAGACAUCGGUCAAGAUUGAAACCCCGUAGUAAAUGGUGAUCCUGAUUUCUGUGGUGUCAUCUAUGAGGACUCUGGAAAAUUCGAUACAAAACAAAAGGACUGCCGAGCUGCCUUACUGACAAAUUAAUUUAUCUAUUGGAGAAGUUUUGAUUUACAACGAAAUUUUCUGUUGGUAACAGAGAGUCUUCCAUUUAAAAUUAAUGACCUCAUAGCUGAUGAAUGAUAAAGCAGGAAAGGAAGUGCGCUGAAGACUGAAAAAAAUCAUCAGGUGAAAGGGGCACACUGUGAUUAUGGAAUAAAAAGUAGUCAUUAAGGCUUAAAAAGAAAAAAAAAAAAAACAGAACUCUGUUUCUCACUGAUGCUAGUGGUGGAUGUUUUCUUGGAAUAUAAAAUGACUUCCCCCCCCUCAGGAUCUGUGGUACUAUAAAAACAGUCCCCUUCAGAAGUAACUUCCAAAUCUGCUAACAUAAUACUUCUCUGAAGAAGAAUGAGAAUGUUGGUUUUACAGUUAAUUAAGGGUUUGGGGUCAGGAACUUGAAAUAUAUCCAUUAGCGUAUGGUUUUCUGGUUAAGGAGUCAUAAAUAUACAGUACACUUUAUUAAAUAUCUUGAAUAAAACUUUUUAAAAAAUA